rnacentral:rRNA from 1 species
CGCGUAGGCGGACACUUAAGUCAGGGGUGAAAUCCCGGGGCUCAACCUCGGAACUGCCUUUGAUACUGGGUGUCUUGAGUGUGAGAGAGGUGUGUGGAACUCCGAGUGUAGAGGUGAAAUUCGUAGAUAUUCGGAAGAACACCAGUGGCGAAGGCGACACACUGGCUCAUUACUGACGCUGAGGCGCGAAAGCGUGGGGAGCAAACA